UCAGUUUCCAUUGACAAAACAAUGAGACAACACAGCAGUUAUUGUGAAUUGAUAUAUCAUGAGUUGAGAUAUUUUUGAGUACAUUCCUAGGAAAUCUAAUUCUCUCAACUCUUGUGUAGUGCAAUAGUUGAACUGUCAAGGACCAGUGUUUGCUAAUGUGCAAUGUUUGUAUUCGAAAUAGUGUUACUAGCAGAAUGAAGAGGUAGACCAGAAGUGUCUGUUACUCCUUUCUGUUUGUUGGUUGGUUACUUGUUUCGCGGAGGUGAUACUGUGUACGUGGUCCUUCAAAUCUGAAGCCUAAAUAAAACACAGAGCGUUUACAUGUGAGGAAACAAAAACUAUCUAUCAAGCUACCUUUUCCACUUAACAAUGAACAACUCUCAAGUACUAGUGGCUUGAGAGUCUUUAUGCGACAAGGAAGCCAUCAGUAACGAAAAUUAAAUAUUUUUCACAAAAAGAAAUGUCAGAUGGACCAUAAAUGUAAUAAGCAUGGUUGCUUUUGAUAUGCGUGAAGUUUACUUGCCCUUAAUGUUAUCCACAUGUACAUGCAAGUGAAUAAAAUCAUGAAUUGGGUAAUGUUGCCCAAUCUCUUAUGCCACAAGAAAGCCUUCAGCUCAUUAUGUGUAUUACAUUUAUUGAAUAAAUGUGUUCAGCAUGAAAGAGGAGUUUUGAAAAAUAUCAAGGUUGAAACGGUAUAAACCAUCAAUCGAAGUACCAGAACUAUAACUAUACUUAAUUCUUAUAUAAGAGACCACAAUGUCUAUAUCCACAGACUUCAAACUAGUACAUCCAACUUUUUCAUAGACAUAAGAUUUCUAGAACAUUCAAAAACAUAAAGACACCCUUUUAGCUCUAAAAGCACAGACCAAUGUCAAGGAUUAUUCACAAGUCCCGAUCCAUUCAAUCCAGUGCCUUCACUCCAUUCCCAUGUAUUUUAGGUCCGCUUAUGGGUUGGAUCAUAAGCAAUUCCUGCACAACGUUCAAAACAUGAGCAGCAGUACCAAAAUCUAGCCACUAGGUAUUAUUAUGACCUAUAAUGAGAUUUGAUUCCAAGACUAUAAGAAAAUUACAUAUAACAAGUAUAUGCACAGGAUAUAACAAGGAUAGGCUAAGGUUCAUUUGCAAUAAAGCUAGAUUUUCAACACAUGCACGGGUUUGUUUUCAAAAGAGUUUUUGCAAAGCUUUUCUUUAGUAACCGAAACAUUGAGCGGGGUUGAUCCUACACAAAGGAUCCAUCAUAAUAAUGAUUGAAGUUGAGUAACGAAUUCCUAAGCAUUCUAGCAGUAGUUAUCAUCUAAACAGAGCAAGUCAUAUUUAGAGAUAAACAUAGGACAACAAGGAAUGAUCGUAACAAUCAAGGGGUGGCUAUCCAACCAUGUCUUGCAAUAAAACAAUAUGCAUUUUAUAAAACAGGCCAAUAGGUUAUGUUUGAAAAACUAGGAAUUGAAUAUGCAUUAAAGGAUGAGAUUGGACUUGCCGUCUUCAAAGCCUUCCGGGAGCUCCGGCUCGUGCUGCUGGUCCUCGGGCUCGGGCUCGCGGUCAAACUCCUCCUCGUGCUCCUCCUCGGGUACUCCGCGAUCUACGGCACACACAAACAGGCACACAAAUAAAUAAAAGAAAAUCAGCUUUUACCUGUUGAGCUCCGAACAAAAAACGCGAACGAAAAAUAGGUAGGAUGAGUAUUUUUGGGAAAUUUGGAUAUGGAUCGGCGGAAGUAUACUGGAGGAUGACGUGGUCGAAUUUGGGAGUAAUUGGAGGAAGUUUGGCGCAUGAAAUGCCGAGUUAAACAUGGACUAGGGGCUUAAAAAGGAGUUUAGGACUAAACAGCGAGAAACCAGGGGCCUAUUGGAAAUAUCUUCGGGAGUGGAGGGCUGAUCUGUGAGGAUCUCUUAAGAGUGGUGGAGGGACUCGUUUGCGAAUAGGAAGAAAGAGGGGUCAGAUCGGAAUUUUGGGGAAUUUGCCCCUUUUCUUCUCCCAGGAACAGAGAGAGAGAGGGGAGUGGGGGAGUUGGCCGGCGGUGGCUGGCCGGCCGGGCUCACCGGCGGCGAGCCGUGGGCGGAGGGGGGUGGAGGAAGUGGAGGGGGCUCCAUUUUGCCCCUUACCUUGGGGAGUUGGAGAGGGAGAGGGGGCGGCCGGUGGUGGCUCGGGUGGCGGCGGCGCACGGGAGGAGCGGCUCAGGCGGCGGCGCACAGGUGGCGGUGGUGCUCGGUGAGGGAGGGAGCAAGGCAGCGGGUGGAUGGAUGGGGUGUGGCGCGGCUUGGGAGAGGGGCGGCCGGGAUGGCCCCCUUUUAUAGCUUGUGAGGUGGCCGGCGGGGUGGGCUCCGAGCGGCGGCCGGUGGCGGUAGGGGCUCGGGUGACCGUGGUGCCGGCGGUAGGGGACCGGGCAGGCGGCACCGGCGGUGGGGGACGGACGCGGGGCGGCGUCGCGGAAGGCGCGGGAUGGAGCCGGCGUGGGCGGCGUAGGGGCACGCCGGCGGGGCCGGAGCGGGACGGCCGCAGGGGCGGCGCGCGGCCCGAGGGCGCCGGCGCGGCCGGUGGGGCCGGGCCGAGGGGCGCGGGCCCGAGCAUGCGGGGGGGGGGCGAGGGUAUGGCGCCAGGGGAAGUGGGCGUCGGGAGGAGUAAUGGCGCCGGGGUUGCGUGCGCCAGGAAGAAGAAAGGAGGAGGAGGAGAGAAGAAGGAAGGAGGAAGAAGAAAGAAGAAGAAAGAGAAGGAGAAAAAGAAAAAGAAAAGAGGGGGGAAAAGAGAAAAAGAUAAGGGGAAACCGGCGGCGAUCGCGGCACGCGGUCGGAGCACGCGCGGCGGUCUGUUGAUCGGCACACGGCGAGAAUUACGGGAGAGGAUAAAAGGAUGGUGUCGGCUAGGGUGCCAGGAUGGCGAAAUCGCCGGGAAGAGUUUGGGUUUUCGGAAGCUCAACGAUAAAAGACUUUGAAAGUGAUUUUUAACGGGUGAUUUUAGUUGGUGAUUUUGCGGAUGUUACAUUAGCCAAGGUUCUGCACGCCUUUGGUUUAUAAAACUACAGUUUCUUGAUACCAUAGUUUUUCUUAAACUACGACAUGCAAACAGGCCGUAAAAUUGGAAUAGCCCAUGGAAUUAUCAAUAAUAAGAUUUAUCCCUCAAAAGAUAAUGCGAUAAUAAUAAAAUAAACCAUGAAGAUGCAAAUGCAAACAAAUUAGGUUACAUGUGAAAGUACAAAACAUGCACUCAUCCGGUGAGAAGCAAAGCUAUCUUAACAUGGAAAGCAAAUUUAUUGCGCAAAUAUCUUGCUCAUGAUCAAGUUUUUAAGAACCAAAUACAUCAACAACACAAGAAAGGGGCCUGCUGUCUAUCAGUGUAUGGUACCUGGACCGGGGGGGUUUUGAUUUGGAAUCACUUGAGCAUUUCCAGGGUUCUCCAUAGACAGCAUUUUCAGAGAAAUCUUCCGCAAAUAAUCAGACUGGAUGAUAGAAAAGAAUAAGGACUUAAGAUGUAGCUUUGCAUUAAUACAAUUAAUUAGUGUUUGUGCAUGGGCCGUAAUAUGUUAGUGCGACAGUGGCCUAGUAUGGUUAGCAUAGUAUACAUGCAUUGCUCCAUCAUCUUUGUGAGGAUGAUAAACAGAUUCUAUAAUAAGCAUCUAGAAAAUGACCUAAAAGCUUUUCAGAUUGUUCAUAGAUAUCAUUAACCCAACCUCAUGACAAAAAAGUUCUGACUCUUCAUGUGGAAGGUUGUAGAGUUAGGUUAAAAGUACCGGGUUGGUGGCUGCAGUAUAAAUUUUCUCUUCAAACCGCACAGCAAUUUUUUGAAGCUCACUCAGCUCCUCAGGCGCUGAUACUGGCCGAUGCUUCUUUAGAGCCUCCAUUCUACACAAAUAAUGAAAGAUGUGAUACAUUGAGAGAUAUACUAAGAAAUGUGUUUGACUACCAUCUAAGAAGUCUUGAACAAACUAGUAGGUCAAAAGCCCAGCAUAUGUACACAGGCUAGUGGUAAAAGUGGGAUGGAAUUUGUGGACAACUAACGCACAGACAUAAGGUUGAACAAGUAAAAUGGACAAAUUUAAGUGGUAGGCAUAUACAUGACAGAAUAAGUAGUUGGGGGUAACGGACAUUUAUAUUUUUGUCUCACAUCAUGUGUUGUCACCUGUACUGGCGGCAUGCCCAAUGCUGAAAGCUCCCACACAGGGCGGGGGUCUAGUUCUAGGCAGCUUUACCUUGCUUAUUUUGUAAGGAGGCUGAUUUGACCCCAGGAUCUCAGGACACAAAGUGGAGGCUACCACUGCGCCAGGCUCACCCUUCAAGCGGCAAGCUUAUACAUGACAUAAUAAUAAUUUUUGAACUUUUUUUCAUCACAUCAUGAGUUGUUGCCGUGCACCCCAACCUAGAAAGAAUCAAACGAAUGGGAAUGUCUCCUCCCAUGUUCGAGGGGGAAAAUAUGAGCUGUCGCCGUGUGCAGGGGACAUCAGCAGAAUCUUUGUUAUGCAGUUAAGGGCAUACAAUAUAACGGCUCUUAUCAAGACGCUUACGGAGAGACAAUAAAUGCUACACCAUUAAGCGCCUACCUCUGAUGUCCUAUUUUGUGGAUGCUUAAAUAGCUUUGUAAGGUUAAGAGCCAGCUAAGCGCCAGUGAGAUUGUUUUUUGCCUGUUAUAAAUGAAAAGAUGAAACAGCCAAAGCUAUGUCUUAUUUUGCUUGGAUUCGAUGCAACAGGAUUUUGCGCAGCAAAAGUUAAGUCAAAUUUUGCAUGGAUUCAGUGCUGUAGGAUUGCAUGAUAGGAAGAUGAUACUGUUGCAGCUCCAGAAAGGAAGAAUACUCAAGUCCAGCAAAAUUUUGGCACUUUGAGACCAUCUUUUGUGAGUUAUGUAAUUGCCGGUCAAUUAGCUGAGAUGGCAAGUGAGCUAGGUGUGCAAUUAAUUUGUUGGUUCAAACAAAUAUAACCCAAAUGGCCAAGGACAAGCAACCAGCGUUGGUCAUGGCUCUUAAGUUCCCUGCGUGUGUCUAUCGUGCAGACAUGACCUUGUAGUGAUUCUAUUUGUGUAUAUCUUGUAGCAAGCGAACAAGUAGUUUCUGCUUUCGAUUUUGAUAAUCGGUGUAGAGAUGUGUAAUCUAGAUAGGAUGAUGGAUUGGAUAUCACGAUACCCCUCUAUCACGGGAUACGGGUGAGCGAUCCGCGAGGUAACAGACGAUGCGAUUUGUAGAAAUUGGCAGAUAAAUCAGUAGGCCCAUGCGCACAGAUGGAUCAGCAAACCCUAACCUAGUAGCAUGAUAGCAUCCGCGCAUCUAUUAGAAAUUAGAAGAGGGGGGAAGGUGUCGACGGAUCGAUCGAAUCGUAAAAGGAGCUCGCCAUGGCGAAAGCAGAGCAACUGAAAUUUCUUCCCGUCAGAGAGGGGGAGGGGAAGGGAAGGAAGAGGGAGUGGACGCACAUCUUAUUGACGAUCCUGCUGCGGGCCUCGGGCGGGAGCAGGGUGCGCCAGUCGCCUCCGGCGGGGGCGGCGGCGUUAGGGUCGACGCCACCGGCGGCAGCGACGGCCGCAGGAUCGGCACCCUGCGUGGGGCGCGAGUUGGCGGCGCCGUCCAUGGAUUGCGACCCUUUCCCCUCAGACAAGCAGGAGCCAGCAGGCAGGAGAGGAAUGGAGGUUAAGGCCUAACUUUUAUUUAAUAGUCAGCAGUGGAGCUUUUCAGCAGCCAUCUGAAAACCUCUUAAGCAAGGGCCAAGGGCCAGGAGCACUCCGGCUGCGCCUCCGCACGUUCGCUCCAACACGAAGAAGCCGAAGUCGCACCAAAUGGCCACGCCGAAGGAGCCGCUUCCGAGCAUCGGCAAGAGGAAGCAGGAGCCGUUUUUGGGCUGCAUGGCGGAGCUCAAAAAAGUAGCUCCGCGGUUCCAGCUCCGACUUCAGCCCCACACGCGAAGUGCUCGGCAAGGAGCGCUCCCAAGCGCGUCCUAAAGCAUAACUUGCUGCUAGAACCCCUUUAACUGGAUUCAAUGUCAGAUGGACCAGAAAUGUAAAGCAUGGUUGCUUUUGAUAUGCGUGAAGUUUACUUGCCCUUAAUGUUAUCCACUACACAUGCAAGUGAAUAAAAUCAUGAAAUGGGUAAUGUUGCCCAAUCUCUUAUGCCACAAGAAAGCCUUCAGCUCAUUAUGUGUAUUACAUUUAUUUUCAAUAAUGUGUUCAGCAUGAAAGAGGAGUUUCGAAAAAUAUCAAGGUUGAAACGGUAUAAACCAUCAAUCAAAGUACCGGAACUAUAACCAUACUUAAUUCUUAUAUAAGAGAACACAAUGUCUAUGUCCACAGACUUAAAACUUAGUACAUCCAACUUUUUCAUAGACAUAAGAUUUCUAGAACAUUCAAAAACAUAAAGACACCCUUUUAGCUCUAAGAGCACAGACCAAUGUCAAGGAUUAUUCACAAGUCCCGGUCCAUUCAAUUCAGUGCCUUCACUCCAUUCCCAUGUAUUUUAGGUCCGCUUAUGGGUUGGAUCAUAAGCAAUUCCUGCACAACAUUCAAAACAUGAGCAGCAGUACCAAAAUCUAGCCGAUAGGUAUUAUUAUGACCUAUAAUGAGAUUUGAUUCCAAGAAUAUAAGAAAAUUACAUAUACAUUU
rnacentral:lncRNA from 1 species